GCUGUGGUAGGUGGUAGCGAGACAAAAGUGAACAUGGCAGGUUUCCUUCCUUGUGUAACCUCAAGUUUAUCGCAGAUCUCUUGCCACUCAGCUACUAACCCAGUUUUUCUCUCCACCGCCACCUGCUCAGCUUUUAAUGUAUGAAACUUCUAGGGAAGUUUCAGAUGGGAGAAAUAAAGGAGUUAAAAACAUGCUGCCUCAAAAUAUGCUCCUCUGGCAUAUUGACUAUUAUGAAAUAAAGGUACUUGAAAAACA